rnacentral:rRNA from 1 species
UACGAAGGGUGCAAGCGUUAAUCGGAAUUACUGGGCGUAAAGGGCGCGUAGGCGGCUCAUGAAGGCUGUGGUGAAAGUCCGGGGCUCAACCUCGGAUCGGCCGUGGCGACUCGUGGGCUGGAGCACUGUAGAGGAAGGUGGAAUUCCCGGUGUAGCAGUGAAAUGCGUAGAUAUCGGGAGGAACACCAGUGGCGAAGGCGGCCUUCUGGACCAGUACUGACGCUCAUGCACGAAAGCGUGGGGAGCAAACAGG